rnacentral:rRNA from 1 species
UUUAUGGAGAGUUUGAUCCUGGCUCAGAGUGAACGCUGGCGGCGUGCCUAAUACAUGCAAGUCGAACGAUGAAGCUUCUAGCUUGCUAGAAGUGGAUUAGUGGCGUACGGGUGAGUAAGGUAUAGUUAAUCUGCCCUACACAAGAGGACAACAGUUGGAAACGACUGCUAAUACUCUAUA